UACGUAGGGUGCAAGCGUUGUCCGGAAUUAUUGGGCGUAAAGAGCUCGUAGGCGGUCUGUCGCGUCGGCUGUGAAAACUCGGGGCUCAACCCCGAGCCUGCAGUCGAUACGGGCAGACUAGAGUGCGGUAGGGGAGACUGGAAUUCCUGGUGUAGCGGUGAAAUGCGCAGAUAUCAGGAGGAACACCGGUGGCGAAGGCGGGUCUCGUGGGC
rnacentral:rRNA from 1 species